rnacentral:rRNA from 1 species
AGGACGAACGCUGGCGGCACGCUUAACACAUGCAAGUCGAACGAGAUCCAAGGAGCUUGCUCCUGAAGAUCUAGUGGCGAACGGGUGCGUAACACGUGAGAAACCUGCCUUGAACUUGGGAAUAACAGUCGGAAACGACUGCUAAUACCGAAUAUCUUCACGACGUCGCAUGGCGAUGUGAAGAAAGCUUUAUGCGGUUCAAGAGGGUCUCGCGGCCUAUCAGCUAGUUGGUGAGGUAACGGCUCACCAAGGCAUCGACGGGUAGCUGGUCUGAGAGGAUGAUCAGCCACACGUGGGACUGAGACGACGGCCCAGACCUCCGACGGGAGGCAGCAGGUGGGAAUGUAGACACAAGUCGGACGAAACGCUAGAUGACAGACGA